rnacentral:lncRNA from 1 species
CGGCAUCAUCGGCGCCAUCGUGGCCAGUGUCGUGGCCGCAGCCGUGGUGGCCACUGCCGCCAUCAUCUGCCGGCAGCAGCGCAAGAACCGCACGGCCCGUGGCGAGGACGGCCUUGACGAGCCCCCCCCGUACAAGCCGCCCCCCCCCGGCGAGAAGCUGCAGGAGCUGCCGUGGGCCCCUGAGCACCAGCUCCUGCCCCUGCAGCCACUUGGUGCGGAGCCGCUGGCCGAGGCCACGGGGACCCCGGCGUCCGGGCGGGUGCCGCCGCGGUACCACGAACUGCCCACGGCCGAGGAGCCUCACGGCGAUGAGAACGAGAACGAGGAUGAGGACGGGGACGAGGACGAGGAUGGAGGCUACGUGGAGCAGCUGAACCCGCUCUAUGACAGGCUGCGCAAGGACGGGGACGGGGAUGCGGAUGCCCCAGCGUGUGGCUUCGUCAUGUCACCCGCGGUUUACGUCUGAGCCGCCCCGGAGCCGUGGGACUGGGAGCUGCCCCGAACAUGGGGGACCGGGAGCCACCCGGACCUGAAACUGUGGGGCUGGGGAGCGGCCC